rnacentral:tRNA from 1 species
AGUAGCUCAAUGGUAGAGCGGUUGGCUGUUAACCAAUAGGUUCGGGGUUCAAGUCCCUGC